rnacentral:tRNA from 1 species
GCUUUCAUAGCUCAAUAGGUUAGAGCUGCUCCCUCUUAAGGAGAAGGUUUGGGGUUCGAGUCCCUAUGGAAGCA